UCUACGGGUGGCUGCAGUGAGGAAUAUUGGUCAAUGGGCGCGAGCCUGAACCAGCCAAGUAGCGUGAAGGAUGACUGCCCUACGGGUUGUAAACUUCUUUUAUAAAGGAAUAAAGUGAGGCACGUGUGCCUUUUUGUAUGUACUUUAUGAAUAAGGAUCGGCUAACUCCGUGCCAGCAGCCGCGGUAAUACGGAGGAUCCGAGCGUUAUCCGGAGUGACUGGGUGUAAAGAGUUGCGUAGGUGGCAUAAUAAGUUGCUAGUGAAAUCUGGUGGCUCAACCAUUAAGACUAUUAGCUAAACUGUUAAGCUUGAGACCGUUAGGGGUAAGUGGAAUGUUUGGUGUAGGAGUGAAAUCCGUAGAUAUUAGAAGGAACACCAAUAGCGAAGGCAGGUUGCUGGGACGGUUCUGACACUAAGGCACGAAAGCGUAGGGAGCAAACGGGAUUAGAUACCCGAGUAGUC
rnacentral:rRNA from 1 species